rnacentral:rRNA from 1 species
UAGUGGCGAACGGGUGAGUAACACGUGGGCAAUCUGCCCUGCACUCUGGGACAAGCCCUGGAAACGGGGUCUAAUACCGGAUAACACCUUCUCUCGCAUGGGAGGGGGUUCAAAGCUCCGGCGGUGCAGGAUGAGCCCGCGGCCUAUCAGCUUGUUGGUGAGGUAGUGGCUCACCAAGGCGACGACGGGUAGCCGGCCUGAGAGGGCGACCGGCCACACUGGGACUGAGACACGGCCCAGACUCCUACGGGAGGCAGCAGUGGGGAAUAUUGCACAAUGGGCGAAAGCCUGAUGCAGCGACGCCGCGUGAGGGAUGACGGCCUUCGGGUUGUAAACCUCUUUCAGCAGGGAAGAAGCGAAAGUGACGGUACCUGCAGAAGAAGCGCCGGCUAACUACGUGCCAGCAGCCGCGGUAAUACGUAGGGCGCAAGCGUUGUCCGGAAUUAUUGGGCGUAAAGAGCUCGUAGGCGGCUUGUCACGUCGGUUGUGAAAGCCCGGGGCUUAACCCCGGGUCUGCAGUCGAUACGGGCAGGCUAGAGUUCGGUAGGGGAGAUCGGAAUUCCUGGUGUAGCGGUGAAAUGCGCAGAUAUCAGGAGGAACACCGGUGGCGAAGGCGGAUCUCUGGGCCGAUACUGACGCUGAGGAGCGAAAGCGUGGGGAGCGAACAGGAUUAGAUACCCUGGUAGUCCACGCCGUAAACGGUGGGCACUAGGUGUGGGCAACAUUCCACGUUGUCCGUGCCG